rnacentral:rRNA from 1 species
GAUGAACGCUAGCUACAGGCUUAACACAUGCAAGUCGAGGGGUAACGAGAGGGAAGCUUGCUUUCCUUGUCGACGACCGGCGCACGGGUGAGUAACGCGUAUCCAACCUGCCCCCAACUAGGGAAUAACCUUGCGAAAGUAAGACUAAUACCCUAUAAUUUCCUCAGAUGUCAUCUGACGAGGAAUAAAGAUUUAUCGGUUGUGGAUGGGGAUGCGUCUGAUUAGCUUGUUGGCGGGGUAACGGCCCACCAAGGCAACGAUCAGUAGGGGUUCUGAGAGGAAUGUCCCCCACAUUGGAACUGAGACACGGUCCAAACUCCUACGGGAGGCAGCAGUGAGGAAUAUUGUUCAAUGGGCGGAAGCCUGAACCAGCAAAGUAGCGUGCAGGAUGACGGCCCUAUGGGUUGUAAACUGCUUUUAUACAGGAAUAAAGUUAGCCACGUGUGGUUAUUUGUAGGUACUGUAUGAAUAAGGACCGGCUAAUUCCGUGCCAGCAGCCGCGGUAA